CCUCAGAUACACCUGGGUAUAGAGCUGGACAUAAAUAAGGUCAUAAAUGAAAAGUUACUUCUGAUCCCUCAAGCUAUUUUAUGUCUGCAGAGUGCAAAACCAGCAUUAGAACUUGUUCGGUCUCCCUCUGUUCCGGGAGAAGAGGCUAAAGAGGAGGAAAAUUACAACAACCCUCCGUCUGUUGCUGCACCACAGCCUGGACAACCUGAAUCAAGUGCAAAACCAGCAUUAGAACUUGUUCGGUCUCCCUCUGUUCCGGGAGAAGAGGCUAAAGAGGAGGAAAAUUACAACAACCCUCUGUCUGUUGCUGCACCACAGCCUGGACAACCUGAAUCAAGUGCAAAACCAGCAUUAGAACUUGUUCGGUCUCCGUCUGUUCCUGGAGAAGAGGCUAAAGAGGAGGAAAAUUACAACAACCCUCCAUCUGUUGCUGCACCACAGCCUGGACAACCUGAAUCAGUAAGCACCAGCUUUGGUUGGCACUGUCUUUGGUGCAAAGCAGAGU
rnacentral:lncRNA from 1 species